ensembl:lncRNA
UUGCCAGGAGAACAGAACAUCCUUCAACUUCAAGAACAGCUGGACCAGACAGCAGUGAGUCAAAUGAACACAUGACUGUAUCAGCGGCGUUUCCUGUGUCUUCACCUUCCGGUGCUUUGUUUACCGUUGUUGUGUGUUGUUGUGUGUCUGCAGGUUUCUGCCACCCCUGGUGUCCCUCAGCCGGACACUUCUUCUUCCUCUUCAUCGUCUUCAUCGUCUUCCUCCGAGUCCAGCCACAGUUCAGAGGUCACCUGAGUAUUUCCUUAUUUUGAUGAAAAUAUGAAUGACAGAAGAUCAUCAGAGCACCAUGUGACCAUCUUUACAGGGUCGUCAAGAAGUGAGGGCACGGCCAAACCUGGAGAACACGGUAACACACACACACAGAUACACAGAUACACACAGAUACACACAUAUAGACACACAGAUACAUAAAGAUACACACACACACAGAUACACACAUAUAGACACACACACACACAGAUACACACAUAUAGACACACACACACACAGAUGCAUAUACACAUAUAGAUACACACACACACACACAUACACACAUAUAGACACACACACAUACACACAGAUACAUACAUAUAGACACACACACACAGAUACACACACACAGACACACACAGAUACACACAUAUAGACACACACACACAGAUGCAUAUACACAUAUAGAUACACACACAGAUACACACACACACACACAGAUACAUACAUAUAAACACACACACAGAUGCAUAUACACAUAUAGAUACACACACAUAUAGACACACACACACAGACACACACAUAAAGACACACACACACAGCUGAAUAUCGACACACACACAGAGUUUUGCCUGUUGAUGUGUGAUGUCACGUCCUGCAGGCGGUGGAGCAGCUGGACUCCUCUCAGGAGGUGAGUCCUCACACAAAUUUAAAUAAACUUUAUUUUAACCAUUUAAAGGUUUCACUACAAUCAUGGCUGUGUGUGUGUGUGUGUACACGUGUGUGUGCGUGUUUGUGUGUGCGUGUGUGUGUGUGUGUUUGUACAUGUGUGUGUGUGCGUGUGUGUGUGUCCAGAGCUCAGAGGGCUCUCCCAGUAACGUCACUCUGUGGCUCAGUGAACUGGUUUUACUGGGGAGGACAGCGGGGAAGAGAGACGAAGGGGAAGACACCGCAGACGACAGCGUGGAGACCAGACACAGGGCCCUGCUGUUGACCUUCCACCACCUCCUGAGUCGCCCUCGACACAGAGACGAUGGCAGACGUCCCGGAGUGGGCGGGGCCAGACGAGAGGGGGGCGUGGCUGAUGAAGAAGGACAUGUGAUCGGGGCAGCGGGUGGAGAAGGCGGAGCUGGAGAGAACCACGAGCUCCCACGACUGUCAGACGACAGCAUGGAGGGGCGGCUGACCUUUGACCUGCCAGGCCUCGGUCACCAUGGAGACGAGGUGGAGCUGGAACUGGGGCUGUGACAGUCCACCCGUCAAUCAAUGAACUUAUCUGAGUGAUGUCAUUUUUAGGCACCUGUUUGUUUAUCACCCUGUUUAAACACAAACGACCAAUCAGCCGCCAUGUUUCUGUCAACAAAGUCCAGGAGGCGUGGCCUGAUAGAGCAGAACCAAACCUGUUCUGAUCACUGAAAGCACCUGUUACAGAGGGACAGAACAGCGCCUCCAUGUGGUCGCGUCACAAACAGAUAAUAUUUACACACAGCUGGCGCUCUGUAUUCACCGUGUGACCUCAUGUAGUCUCUUUGUAACUAAACUCAAUCAGUUAUGAGAUUAAAACAUAAUAAAUAAAAACCCUGCAGAUCA